rnacentral:rRNA from 1 species
UACGGGGGGGGCAAGCGUUGUUCGGAAUUACUGGGCGUAAAGGGCUCGUAGGCGGCCAACUAAGUCAGACGUGAAAUCCCUCGGCUUAACCGGGGAACUGCGUCUGAUACUGGAUGGCUUGAGUUCGGGAGAGGGAUGCGGAAUUCCAGGUGUAGCGGUGAAAUGCGUAGAUAUCUGGAGGAACACCGGUGGCGAAGGCGGCAUCCUGGACCGACACUGACGCUGGAGGAGCGAAAGCCAGGGGAG